ACUGUCUCAAGAUAAGCCAUGCAUGUCUAGUAUCAUCCGAAACUGCGAAUGGCUCAUUAAAACAGUUAUAGUUUACUUGAUAUUGCAUCUUACAUGGAUAACCGUAGUAAUUCUAGAGCUAAUACAUGCGUUACGCCAGACUCACGAAUGGCAGUAUUUAUUAGAUAACAGAUCAAUAUUCCUCUGGUCUAUUUGAUGAUUCAUAAUAACUAGCUUAUCGAAUCGCUGGGUUGUACCCGCGAUAAAUCAAUCAAGUUUCUGCCCCAUCAGCUUGAUGGUAGUGUAUUGGACUACCAUGGCUUUUACGGGUAACGGGGGAUUAGGGUUCGACACCGGAGAGGGAGCCUGAGAAACGGCUACCACUUCUACGGAAGGCAGCAGGCGCGUAAAUUACCCAAUCCUAAUUCAGGGAGGUAGUGACAAGAAAUAAUAGACCGGCGUAAGCCGGGUUUACAAUGAGCCUAAUUUACACAGCUUAGUGAGGAUCCAUUGGAGGGCAA
rnacentral:rRNA from 1 species